GCUGGAAGGAGUUAGCUGAUGAGUAGACAUUACAACAUUUUUUAUAGUUGCAAGAUGACGCAGAAAGUCCCAUCCAGGAUGAUGCUUCGCUACAGUGGAUGAUGAAGCCAUGCUGGUUUACAAACUCAGGAGAGGAACAAAGAACAGAUAUUGACGGGAUCAUAUCUAGAGAUGCAGGCCUACUACACUUCAUACGAGCAAGUGUGCUAUUAAAUAUACAUACUUGGGUUAUCAUUACAGCCCUUUCUUCUGAAAACUAGGCUACAACUUUAUUGAUGGAUGCAGAAAACAUCUACAUGGGACUACGUCUUAAAGAUGCCACCCUCAUAUAAGGAAAGAGGACAGUAGAGAUGGGUUCAAACUUGAAUAUUUACAUACUAUUUAUUUAUUAUUUGUAUCAUAUGUUUGUAGAAUAC